ACGCCCCACACUGGGGAUGGAGCCCUGACUGGGGAUCGAACCAUGACCUCCUGGUUCAUAGGUCGACACUAACCACUGAACAGCACUGGCCGGGCUUCCUGUCCCUCCUCUGAGUCUUUUUCUCCUUCUCGAAUAUUCUCUGUCUCUGCCUUUCUCGUGCCCUGUCUUGCUGGACUCUCUCUUCUCUCCUUUUUCUUCUCUUCCUCUCCCUCCUCCUCUCUCCCUCCUGCCUCGUGCCUUCUUACCACCCACGACUGAACAAACACCUGUGCGGGGAAGAGAGCUUUCAUAACUCAGCGGUGGGGCGUGCAGAGACGCCACCGGCCAGGCACCCCCCUCCACCGUGGGGAGCAUCCCCCCAGAACCCGGGCGGUGGGCCUUUCAGCAGACAGGCCUGCGGAGAGGAGACUGGGUGGGGGAGCGGGGGGAGCUGUGUGUCCGUCUGUUUGGGGAGAGAAGGACAUGAGUACACCUUCCGCCAAACAGUCCCUCCCCUGUAAGUGCUCAAAGCCCAGGAAACCCACGUGUUCUGCAGGGAGAGGAGCAUUUUGAAUGAAGGGAAAUUACCAGGAGUCACUGGGACUCACGGAGUUGUUGAAAGAGGAGGAGAGGGGGAGAAAGGGGGGAGAGGGAGAAAGGGGGGCCGGCUUUUCAACACCUGAAGUGAGCCCUCAGCAGCUCAGGCUCAGGCACUGCCUGCUCGGCUGAUGGAAUGAAGAAGCCCCGCUGAGGAAGGAGGAGGAGGAGGGAGAGGAGGGGGAGCCCAUGCAGAGGCGGCUGCCCAGGUGCAAACCCCAGACUGGGCUCCGCCCUCUUUUCACCUGGUUUCCAGAGGCCUGUUCCCACGUGCGGAGGGGAAGCGUUCAGACAAAGCUGUUGGUGGCGAGCAAAGGGCGUGUGUGGAAUUCGAAGGCAAAAGUCACUCUGAUCAAAUGUGAGCGUUCGUCAACAGCCCGGCACUGAGGUCAGCUUCUGGAGGCAGCGCAGGCGGCCGGGGAGCUGAGGUCCCAAACCCCCACAGCAAACAAGUGUCCGUCCCUCCCACGCGGCCGCUCCCUUCCGGAGCCUUCUGCGCGUCUGCGGGGAGCAGCUGUGCUCCGGCUCAGCUCCGAGGCCUCAGGACCGGCCGGGUGCUCCGUGGAGCCAACGGCGACCCUCCCUCCUCCUCAAACCCCGACCUCGAUGCCGAGGCUCAGAGAGGCCCCUUGCUCAGGGUCACCCAAGGGCAGGUGACAGAGGACAUCGAACCCAAUCGGGUGACUCCUUUCCACAGAGCCACUCUGGUCAAACCAGCACUGGGUGAUUGCAUUAUGGGUAAUUUUGUUUCUUUUUUUUUUAAUUAAAAACAUUUCCCCCUUUGGAAUGGAUUAGUUGCAUUUUAAAAAGGAAGUAACCAAUCAAAGCAUUUACCGAUGACACCGUGGAUUGUCUGGAAUUUGAUUAAAUGUAUCCGGUUUGGGGGCAGGAACACAAAUAAAAUAAAAUUGUCCAUAAAUGGAUCAUUCUUGAAAUGAG